GACGAACGCUGGCGGCGUGCUUAACACAUGCAAGUCGAACGGACAGGCCCUUCUUUUGUGGGGUGCUCGAGUGGCUAACUGGUGAUUAACACGUGAGUAACCUGCCCUUGACUUUGGUAUAACUUCAGGAAACUGGGGCUAAUACCGGAUUGGAGCUCCUUCUUCAUGGUGGGUGUUGGAAAGUUUCGGCGGUUGGGGAUGGACUCGCGGCUUUUCAGCUUGUUGGUGGGGUAGUGGCUUACCAAGUCUUUUACGGGUAGCCGUCCUGAGAGGGUGACCGGCCACAUGGGGACUGAGAGACGGCGCAGAAGCGUACGGGAGGCAGUAGUGGGGAAUAUUGCAGAAUGGGGGGAAGCCUGAGGAAGAAACGCCGCGUGCGGGAUGACGGCCUUCGGGUGGUAAACCGAUUUCGCAUGUGACGAAGAGUGAGUGACGGUAAUGAGUAAAGAAGCACCGGCUAACUACGUG
rnacentral:rRNA from 1 species